rnacentral:rRNA from 1 species
UACGUAGGGACCAAGCGUUGUUCGGAUUUACUGGGCGUAAAGGGCGCGUAGGCGGCAAUUUAAGUCAUCUGUGAAAUCUCCGGGCUUAACUCGGAAUGGUCAGGUGAUACUGCUUUGCUAGAGUGCAGAAGGGGCAAUCGGAAUUCUUGGUGUAGCGGUGAAAUGCGUAGAUAUCAAGAGGAACACCUGAGGUGAAGACGGGUUGCUGGGCUGACACUGACGCUGAGGCGCGAAAGCUAGGGGAGCAAACGGG